GAUGCGGGAGACCCGCACCGCCGUACUAGGCAAGGUCCUAGUGGAGGUGGUUUGCUAUUGCUUUCCACCGACUGUAAUGCUGAUGAAUGAUGAUGACACAACAACACCCAUUCUUCUCGAGACAGGUGAAAAAUCCCUGACCCCACAGGGAAUCGAACCUGGGACCCCAUACUCGGGAAGCGAGAACGCUACCGCGAGACCACAAGCGGCGGACCGCUAAGAUAAAGAGAAUCUCAAGAAGAAAUCAUGUCACAGAGUCGACCGGGGUAUGAUGGCAAACAGGAUCAGAUGCAUUGCUACCCAUAGUGCUUCAUUCUGCCAAGAGAGUGCAGCACUCGUCAGUCUGCAGGUCGUCUGGCGUCAGUGUCUUGAGUGAGAAGGGCUGGAUGGAGUCGUAACGGAUAUUUUUCGCGUUUUUGAGCUUAAAAUCUGUGGUUGCCUUGGUUCACAAAACGAGGAACAGCACGUGUUAUACAUUAAGAGACUACAGGCUUCCGGAUUUCCUGCUACUGGAGAAGGAGUGCGAAAACGGGCAUUUCAGUUUGCCGAAACCAAUGGUAUAGCUCAUCGCUUCAACAAGGAUCGCAGGGUAGAACUGGCUGCAGCCAUUCUAGAGACAUUUUCCUGGUCUUGUGAAAAGGAAGCCCGGGAACUCUCCAUCGACAGGGCAAUAGCUCUCAACAGGGAAGACAAUGGAAAUUAUUUCAAAUUAGAACAGAAUGUGGUCUUACAGAAUAUUGUAACUGACAAACCAGAUCAUAUAUCUCAUAUGGACGAAUUUCCCUUCCAGACGAACCCCAUACCUGAAUCACUCAUUGCUGAAUAAGAUUCCCUAAUGAUCAAUCAAAUAAUCUGCGAACAAAAGGGGAAAAGAACUACUGUAAUACGAAAUUGGUAAGGCUUUCGAACUACUUGUUGACAAACUGCCUGUUGACUUCUGUCGCAGGUUCUUCGGCUGACGUUUG